CCUACGGGGGGCAGCAGUUAAGAAUAUUCCGCAAUGGACGAAAGUCUGACGGAGCGACGCCGCGUGGAUGAAGAAUGCCGAAAGGUUGUAAAAUCCUUUUAAGCCUGAGGAAUAAGCAGAGGAGGGAAUGCCUUUGCGGUGACUGUAGGGCUUGAAUAAGCAACGGCUAAUUACGUGCCAGCAGCCGCGGUAACACGUAAGUUGCGAGCGUUGUUCGGAAUUAUUGGGCGUAAAGGGCAUGUAGGCGGAAAUGCAAGCUUGAUGUGAAAUACUGCAGCUUAACUGCGGAACUGCAUUGAGAACUGCGUAUCUUGAAUUACUGAAGGGUAACCGGAAUUCCACGUGUAGGGGUGAAAUCUGUAGAUAUGUGGAAGAACACCAAUGGCGAAGGCAGGUUACCGGCAGAUAAUUGACGCUGAGGUGCGAAAGUGCGGGGAGC
rnacentral:rRNA from 1 species